GUCGGGAAUCUUGGGCAAUGGGCGAAAGCCUGACCCAGCGACGCCGCGUGAGGGAUGAAGGCCUUCGGGUCGUAAACCUCUGUCGGGAGGGAAGAAUGGCGGUAGGGCGAAUAGUCCUGCCGUUUGACGGUACCUCCAAAGGAAGCGCCGGCUAACUCCGUGCCAGCAGCCGCGGUAAUACGGAGGGCGCAAGCGUUGUUCGGAAUCACUGGGCGUAAAGCGCGUGUAGGCGGCCGGGCAAGUCGGAUGUGAAAUCCCGAGGCUCAACCUCGGAACUGCACUCGAAACUGCUCGGCUCGAGUCCCGGAGAGGAUGGCGGAAUUCCCGGUGUAGGGGUGAAAUCCGUAGAUAUCGGGAGGAACACCAGUGGCGAAGGCGGCCAUCUGGACGGUGACUGACGCUGAGACGCGAAAGCGUGGGGAGCAAACAGGAUUAGAAACCCCAGUAGUCC
rnacentral:rRNA from 1 species